rnacentral:lncRNA from 1 species
UAAUGAGCUCCUCCAUUCAUCUACCGAACUGCUCCAAAUGUUCUCUGGACUUCACUAUCAGUCGAUUUUUUACUGUGAUCGACUACUCUCCGAAUGUCUUCCAGACUUCUUCCAGCCACGAUCAACUUUACUCCGAACUUCUUUCAGACUUCGUCAAUGAUCGAGCUUCUCCAGUGGCAGGAUUUCUACAGUAAUCAGACUCUAUCCAAGUUUCUAUGGUGAU